UACGUAGGGUGCAAGCGUUGUCCGGAAUUACUGGGCGUAAAGGGUGCGUAGGUUGUACAGUAAGUUAGCUGUGAAAUUCCUGGGCUUAACCUGGGGUGGUCAGCUAAGACUGCUGAACUUAGAGUAUAGGAGAGGGUAGUGGAAUUUCCGGUGUAGCGGUGAAAUGCGUAGAGAUCGGAAGGAACACCGGUGGCGAAGGCGUCUGCCUGGCCUAAUACUGACACUGAGGCACGAAAGCGUGGGGAGCAAACAGG
rnacentral:rRNA from 1 species